rnacentral:rRNA from 1 species
AACAGAGAUUCCGAAAGUAGCGGCGAGCGAAAUUGGACUAGCCCUUAAGCUUUUAAUGAUGCAGGUGAAGCCUCUGGAAAGUGGCGCAAUAAAGGGUGAUAGCCCCGUAACUGUUCCAUCAUUAUAAGUGAAAUCGAGUAAGGCGGGACACGUGUUAUCCUGUCUGAACAUGGGGGGACCAUCCUCCAAGGCUAAAUACUACUGACUGACCGAUAGUGAACCAGUACCGUGAGGGAAAGGCGAAAAGAACCCCUGUGAGGGGAGUGAAAUAGAACCUGAAACCGUGUACGUACAAGCAGUAGGAGCAGGCUUUGUCCUGUGACUGCGUACCUUUUGUAUAAUGGGUCAGCGACUUAUAUUCAGUGGCAAGGUUAACCGAAUAGGGGAGCCGUAGGGAAACCGAGUCUUAACUGGGCGCUUUAGUCUCUGGAUAUAGACCCGAAACCGGGUGAUCUAGCCAUGGGCAGGUUGAAGGUUGAGUAACAUCAACUGGAGGACCGAACCGACUAAUGUUGAAAAAUUAGCGGAUG